UCAAGUCCGUGAGAGAAUCUUCAACCCAUUUUGUCUUCUCUUCAAUUUUCAUCUUCCCUUUUUUGUGUGAUUAAAGGUUGAAAUCUCCAUGUGAGAUAGGAGUCUUUGUGAUUUCUGCUGUGUGUGAAGACGAUUGAUCUAGGAUUGAGUUCUUUCUGGGUCCAUUGUAGUGACUUUGUUUCAUGUCUUGAGUUGUGAGGGUUUUGGGUUUGUCCAAUGCCUCUGUGUUGAUAUAGAAGUGUACAGUGAUCUGAGCCUACGAUCGAUAAGAUCUUUGAUGCCGGUUGAUUGGGGAUUUUUUGAGUAUUGUCGAUGUAUUCUCUCCGUACUGAAAUUGUUGUAUCUUUGAGUGAUUUGUAUUAAUAGUGGUAUCAGAGUCCUGUGGAGGCAUCGUUCAAGUCUUCGAUCGAGUUUAUCUCUGGAAAAUUAAUUUUCAAUUGAUAACUUGAAUCGAUUGGAAAUCAGAUGAAACCUAGGUCUACUAUUUAUAGAUCUAGGGGUUGCUGGAGUAGAUCCUGGUACUGAGAAUACAAUCUUAAAAGAAACUCUUGGUUUCUAUAUGCUCUUCGAGGAGAAGCCCUAGAUCUAGAUUUUAUCAAGUGUGAAUCCCAAAUCCGAGUUCAUAACGGCCUGUGAUCUUUUCGUAAAACAAGUGUUCUAGUGGUUAUAUUAAAAAAUACCACCACUUUGGUUUGCCGCUUUUAACUCUUAACUCAUUUCUUGUGUUCUCUUUUGAACUGUUUCUAUUCUUUCAUAUGUGAAAUUGUGCCUGGUUCUGCAUUAUUAUCGUGGCCUUUGCUAUUUGAUAAUCUUGAUUUUUUGAACUAUUCCUAGGUUGUGCCUUGACCUGAGAACUUAAUUCUCAAAGAAUCCUAGUGAAUAUGGGAAUCAGUUUGGGAGUGAUCUAUUGUUAUAGUUUUGUGCUUUACCCAUGAGCUAUUGUUGUAUGUAUUUAAAACUUGGUGACCACUGGAAGUGCUAAGGAGCUACUGCUAUGUUGGAUAAGUAGUAUGUUAGGCUUCUAGUAUGACCACUAGCAUCAAUGUGGAGAUUUGUUGGCUAUGAUGCCACAUUUAGUCCAAUAAUUUAGGCUGUGAUGAUAUGGCCCGUCGGCCUUGAUAAGUAAAACUGCCCAAUAAAAUCUCAUAGAAGGCCCACAACCCCAAGCCCAAUUUCGGCCAGAUAUAUCGUAUGUUCAAAGUGCAACUUUAGUUGCUGAUUGAACAGUGGAAACGUUAGUCGCUCUGGACCAUUAGAUCACAUCCCAAAUUAAUGGUUGCUGUAUAUAGUAUAAAAGGGGUCUUUCUUGUAACCCUAAAUCAAUCAAUUCAUUCUACAAGUCUGUGAGAGAGUCUCUAGAAUCUUCAACCCCUUUCGUCUUCUCUUCAAUUCUCAUCUUCCCAUUUUUGUGUGAUUAAAGGUUGAAAUCUCUGUGUGAGAUAGAAGUCUGUGAUUUUCGCUCUAUGUGUAAGACAGUUGAUCUGGGACUGAGUUCUUUUUGGGUUCAUUGUAGUGACUUUGUUUCAUAUCUGAGUUGUGAGGGUUUUGGGUCUAUCUAGUGCCUCUAUGUUGAUAAGGAAAGGGUACAAUGAUCUGAGACUACGAUUGAUGAGAUCUUUGAUGCUGGUUGAUUGGGGAUUUUUCGAGUGUUGUUGGUGUAUUCUCUUCAUACUGAAAUUGUUGUAUCUUUGAGUGAUUUGUAUUAAGAGUUUAACAAGCAAAUUUCUAA